GCGAGGUAAUGUUAGAGAUCUGGAAGAGUAUAAGGCUAAUAGGAAGGAGUUUAAGAAGGAGAUUAGGAGAGCCAGGAGGGGACAUGAGAAGGCCUCGGCGUGCAGGAUUAAGGAAAACCCCCAAGGCAUUCUACAGAUCGGAAAUCCAGCUCCGUCCCUGUGACGGUCAUUGCAGUGGUCCUGGUCACCCUGGUGGUUGUCGCGGUCACUGUGGGAAUCGUCCUCUACUGCAGGAGAGAAGACCACUGUCAUCCUGGUACCAAAGAAAAGCAAGGUAACAUGCCUCAAUGACUACCGACCAGUGGCUUUGACAUCCACCAUCAUGAAGUGCUUCGAGAGGCUGGUCAUGGCACACAUCAACUCCAGCCUACCAGACAAUUUGCCUAUCGGUGAAACAGGUCUACAGCGGAUGCCAUCUCCCUGGCCCUACACUCAGCUCUGGAGCAUCUGGACAGUAAAGACACCUAUGUUAGACUAUUGCUUAUUGACUACAGCUCUGCCUUCAAUACAAUAAUUCCAAGCAAGCUUGUCACCAAACUCCGAGACCUGGGACUCAACACCUCCCUCUGUAACUGGAUCCUUGACUUUCUAACAAACAGACUGCAAUCAGUGAGGGUAGGCAGCAAUUAUUCUCAGCACUGGUGCCCCACAGAGCUGUGUCCUCAGCCCUCUACUCUACUCCCUAUACACUCAUGACUGUGUGGCCAGAUUCUGCUCUAACUCCAUCUACAAGUUUGCAGUUGAUACCACUGUUGUAGGCCAUAUCUCAAACAGCGAUGAAUCAGAGUACGGGAAGGAGAUAGAGAGCUUAGUGGAAUGGUGUCAUGACAACAACCUUUCCCUCAAUGUCAACAAAACAAAAGAGCUGGUCAUUGACUUCAGGAAAGGGGGCGGUGUACGUGCACCUGUCUACAUCAAUGGUGCUGAGGUCGAGAGAGUUGACAGCUUCUAGUUCCUGGGAGUGAACAUCACCAACAGCCUGUCCUGGUCAAAUCACGUAGACGCCAUGGCCAAGAAAGCUCAUCAGUGCCUCUACUUCCUCAGGAGGCUAAAGAAAUUUGGUUUGUCCCCUAUGACUCUCACCAACUUUUACCAAUGAAAGCAUCCUAUCUGGAUACAUCAUGGCUUGGUAUGGCAACUGCUCUGCCCAGGACUGCAAGAAGCUGCUGAGAGUUGUGGACACAGCCCAGCGCAUCACAGAAACCAGCCUCCCCUCCUUGGACUCUGUCUUUACCUCUCGUUGUCUUGGUAAAGCAGCCAGAAUAAUCAAAGACCCCAUCCACCCUGGGCAUUCUCUCUUCUAUCAGGUAGGAGAUACAGAAGCCUGAGGGCACGGACCACCAGACUUAAGGACAGCUUCUACCCCACUGUGAUAAGACUAUUGAAUGGUUCCCUUACACAAUGAGAUGGACUCUGACCUCACGAUCGACCCUGUUGUGACCUUGCACCUUAUUGCACUGCACUUUCUCUGUAGCUGUGACACUUUACUCUGUACUGUUACUGCU